GUGGGGAAUUUUGGACAAUGGGCGCAAGCCUGAUCCAGCAAUGCCGCGUGCAGGAAGAAGGCCUUCGGGUUGUAAACUGCUUUUGUACGGAACGAAACGGUCCUGGCUAAUAUCCGGGGCUAAUGACGGUACCGUAAGAAUAAGCACCGGCUAACUACGUGCCAGCAGCCGCGGUAAUACGUAGGGUGCGAGCGUUAAUCGGAAUUACUGGGCGUAAAGCGUGCGCAGGCGGUGCUGUAAGACAGGCGUGAAAUCCCCGGGCUCAACCUGGGAAUUGCGCUUGUGACUGCAGUGCUGGAGUGCGGCAGAGGGGGAUGGAAUUCCGCGUGUAGCAGUGAAAUGCGUAGAUAUGCGGAGGAACACCGAUGGCGAAGGCAAUCCCCUGGGCCUGCACUGACGCUCAUGCACGAAGGCGUGGGGAGCAAACAGGAUUAGAAACCCUUGUAGUCC
rnacentral:rRNA from 1 species